AUGGCGCUGUGGACGGGGCUGGGCCAGGCGGCGACGGUGGCGCAGCUGGUGGGCGCGGACGUGGGCGGGCUCAUCUCCAUGACCAUGCAGGCCGCGCUGACGGCUCGGCAGAACAGGGCGGAAUGCGAGCAGCUGGCGCGCCGGGUCCUCAUGAUCGCGCAGCUGCUGCCGCACGUGCAGCUGGCCGACGAACCGGAGGCAACGGCGUGGCCUCUGGCCGGGCUGGGCGACGUGCUCCGGGACGCCCACGAGCUCGUCGUAUCCUGCCAGGGGAGGAGCGCCGCCUACCAGUUCGUCAUGGCCGGCAGGACGGCCGAGAGGUUCAGGGAGAUUCAGGGCAGGAUCGACUCCUACCUCAUCCUCUUCCCCGUGAUCAGCCACAUCGGCAUCACUCGCCGCCUCGAGAGAAUCUACAACGUCCUAGUCCCGGAUGACUCCGCCACCACUGGAGGUGAACCAUCGUAUCCACCUCCUCCACCACGGUUGUCCCAGCUGCAGCAGGACGUAGAGAUAGUACCCCAUGGAACCCAGGAAUUCACGUUGGCGGAGAUUGUGGCCGCCACCAAUGGCUUCGCCCGUGACACCGUGAUCGGCCAUGGCGGCGGUGGACGGGUUUACAGGGGAAGGCUUCACGAUGGCCGGGAAGUCGCCAUCAAGCGCAUAACUCGCGUGCAAUCAGGCAACCUACAGCUGGAGCUUGACAUCAUGUCACAGCUCCGACAUAGACACAUCGUCCGCCUUCUUGGAUCGUGUGUGACUACGGUCAUAGGCAAGAGAAAAAAGCGCCUGUUAACCACCAGGCGGAGAAAGGAGCCGGAAGAGGAGGCUGAGGGGCUGAUCGUCUAUAAGUACAUGGAGAACGGCACACUCUAUGACCACCUGCACCGUGACCAAGGCUCCUCAGCGCCGUCGCCGGUCACAAUGUGCUGGAAGAUGCGCAUAGAGGUGCUCCUCUGCGUGUCACGCGCCAUCGAGCACAUGCACUGUCACGCCAACCCGCCGAUCAUCCACCGUGACAUCAAGUCGAGUAACAUCCUUUUCGACGCCAGUUGGGUACCACAUUUGUCAGACUUUGGCUCGUCGGUUGCCUGGCACGUGGCAAGCGACAAGGAGUCAUCGGGGUUAGAGUGCCCCGUCACGGGCACAUUUGGGUAUGUCGACCCUGAGUACUGCCUCCGAGGUCGUGUGAAGCCCGCGAGUGACGUGUAUAGCCUGGGUGUGCUGAUGCUCGAGGUUCUCACAGGGGAAAGAGCAUUUCUCCAAGGAGGGUUGAAGAUAAAGGAAGAUCUGGCAUGCUUCGCAUCCCCCAUCAUCGAGGCCGGUAACCUUGUGGAGUUGCUGGACAGGCGACCUGUAUCAGAGCCAACGUCAUGGAAGCUACAUGCUUUGAAGCGUGUGGCGCAGAUUGCACGAUGCUGCGUGAAGUGGGUUGGGAGGGCCCGACCGGCCAUAUUAGGCAUUGUUGCAAACCUCGAGAUGGUGCACGAGUUGAUGUGUAGAGACGAGACGAGUUCAGUUGACGAGUCGAUUCGAUGGCCUUUUCUCGAAAAGGUUGAUGAGUCACCUCAUACCAGGAGUGUGCCAUUGGCGGCACGCUACGAGUCCAAUCUGGUACACCACAAACUGACUGAACUCUAUUCACAUUAA
rnacentral:rRNA from 1 species